rnacentral:rRNA from 1 species
GAUGAACGCUGACAGAAUGCUUAUCACAUGCAAGUCAACUUGAAUUUGGGUUUUUAACUUAGGUUUGGGUGGCGGACGGGUGAGUAACGCGUAAAGAACUUGCCUCACAGCUAGGGACAACAUUUGGAAACGAAUGCUAAUACCUAAUAUUAUGAUAAUAGGGCAUCCUAUAAUUAUGAAAGCUAUAAGCGCUGUGAGAGAGCUUUGCGUCCCAUUAGCUAGUUGGAGAGGUAACGGCUCACCAAGGCGAUGAUGGGUAGCCGGCCUGAGAGGGUGAUCGGCCACAAGGGGACUGAGACACGGCCCUUACUCCUACGGGAGGCAGCAGUGGGGAAUAUUGGACAAUGGACCAAGAGUCUGAUCCAGCAAUUCUGUGUGCACGAUGAAGUUUUUCGGAAUGUAAAGUGCUUUCAGUUGGGAAGAAAGAAAUGACGGUACCAACAGAAGAAGUGACGGCUAAAUACGUG